rnacentral:rRNA from 1 species
UUUUUAAUAUAUUUUUGCUCCACGCAAGAAAGAUGCUUUCGACAUCGUAUGCAAAAGUUAUAGCCGUUUUACUUUUUCAUAACACUUUUUUGCAAACCAUGUCAAAAUUUAUGUUUUUGAAUUUUCCUAACUAAUAGAUGUAGUAACAUAAAUACAUCUCGAAGGAUUUUAAUUUUUGAAGUUUUUAUCAUUUUCUUUUCUUUUUUUGCAAAACUAAAUUGGCGAUUAGGGGGGGGGGGGCAGCAUAAUGGACGAAGGCGGGUGUAACAUGUCGGAUGUGAUCAGACCAGCACUAAAGCACGGGAUCCCAUCAGAACUCCGAAGUUAAGCGUGCUUCGGCAAGAGUAAUACUAGGAUGGGUGACCUCUUGGGAAGCUUCUGUGUUGCAUUCCC